GGCAGUUCAAAGCUUGCAUGGAAUAAUUCUGCUGAACUGUGACCUGUCAAACCAUACUCUAUCUGUAGUCAAGGUGGUUUCUAUAAGUGAGGAGACGUUCAUCCCGACUAGCUUAUCAACUAGUUGCUCGACUGGGUACCUAUGGAUGGUAACCGGUGUCUCCAGUUUACACAAUUUGGGGCACUCCUCUCUGGCCCGUGUCAAGGUCAUCAGUGGUUUCAACAAGGACGAUCCCAAUUCCACUGCGAACAAGGUAUCCAUAGUGGAAGAUGAUGCAAUACCUGGGGGAAUGAAACUACUUGAAAAAUUGCAGGGAGGUUUAACAUUCGACGAAAAAAUGUUCUUGG
rnacentral:misc_RNA from 1 species